UACGUAGGGGGCAAGCGUUGUCCGGAUUUAUUGGGCGUAAAGAGCGUGUAGGCGGCCAGAUAGGUCCGUUGUGAAAACUCGAGGCUCAACCUCGAGACGCCGAUGGAAACCAUUUGGCUAGAGUCCGGAAGAGGAGAGUGGAAUUCCUGGUGUAGCGGUGAAAUGCGCAGAUAUCAGGAAGAACACCCGUGGCUAAGGCGGCUCUCUAGUACGGUACUGACGCUCAGGCACGAAAGCGUGGGGAGCAAACAGG
rnacentral:rRNA from 1 species